rnacentral:misc_RNA from 1 species
GAAAUGCGAUAAGUAAUGUGAAUUGCAGAAUUCAGUGAAUCAUCGAAUCUUUGAACGCACAUUGCGCCCGCCAGUAUUCUGGCGGGCAUGCCUGUCCGAGCGUCAUUUCAACCAUCAAGCCCCCGGGCUUGUGUUGGGGACCUGCGGCUGCCCGCAGGCCCUGAAAACCAGUGGCGUGCUCGCUGUCACACCGAGCGUAGUAGCAAUCACCUCGCUCAGGGCGUGCUGCGGGUUCCGGCCGUUAAACAGCCUUACAAAACCCAAGGUUGACCUCGGAUCAGGUAGGAAGACCCGCUGAACUUAAGC